GAUGAACGCUGGCGGCGUGCCUCAAACAUGCAAGUCGAGCGGGGCUAUGUAAUAUCGCAAGGUAGAACAUAGCCUAGCGGCGAACGGGUGAGUAACACGUGGGUAACCUGCCUGGAAGACAGGGAUAACGAUUCGAAAGGGUCGCUAAUACCUGAUAAUAUCCUUUCAUCGCAUGGUGAUAGGAAGAAAGGGGAACCCGCUUUCAGAUGGGCCCGCGUCCCAUCAGCUAGUUGGUAAGGUAAAGGCUUACCAAGGCGACGACGGGUAGCCGGUCUGAGAGGAUGUACGGCCACACUGGGACUGAGAUACGGCCCAGACUCCUACGGGAGGCAGCAGUUGGGAAUCUUAGGCAAUGGACGAAAGUCUGACCUAGCGACGCCGCGUGAGGGAAGAAGGCCUUCGGGUUGUAAACCUCUGUCAUGGGGAAGAAGUAAGUGACGGUACCCCAAGAGGAAGCCCCUGCUAACUACGUG
rnacentral:rRNA from 1 species